UCAAGCUACAAAGAGCACAAGGGGAAUGCCUUGGCACCGAGAGCCGAAGAAGGACGUGACUAACUGCGAUAAGCUGCGGGGAGCCGUAAGUAGGCUUUGAUCCGCAGAUUUCCGAAUGGAGCAAUCCGGCAAGAGGAAAGUCUUGUCAUCAUAUACUGAAUACAUAGGUAUAUGAGGGGAACCGCCUGAACUGAAACAUCUAAGUAGGGCGAGGAAGAGACAUCAAACGAGAUUCCGUAAGUAGUGGCGAGCGAACGCGGAAGAGGGCAAACCGAGAGUAGAAAUACUUUCGGGGUACGGAGCGCAUUUAGGACUUAAGUUGUUAACCGAACGGCAUGGGAAGGCCGGUCAGAGAGUGUGAGAACCACGUAGGUGAAAACGACAAGAGCUGAGCGAGUUCCAGAGUACGGCCAGACACGUGAAACCUGGUCGGAAUACGGGGGGACCACCCUCCAACCCUAAAUACUACCCAGUGACCGAUAGCGUAUAGUACUGUGAAGGAAAGGUGAAAAGCACCCCGGGAGGGGAGUGAAAAAGAACCUGAAACCCUGUGCCUACAAGCACCUAGAGCACGUCAAUGUGUGAUAGGGUACUUUUUGUAGAACGGUCCGGCGAGCGAUUGUAUGCAGCAAGGUUAAGGACUUAAGGUCUGGAGCCGAAGCGAAAGCGAGUUUGAAAAGGGCGUUAAGUUGCAUAUAAUGGGCCCGAAACCGGGUGACCUACCCAUGGUCAGGUUGAAGUGGAAGUAAAAUUCCAUGGAGGACCGAACCGACCUCCGUUGAAAAGGCGGCGGAUGAACUGUGGGUAGCGGAGAAAUUCCAAUCGAACCCGGAGAUAGCUGGUUCUCUCCGAAAUAGCUUUAGGGCUAGCCUUGAAAUAGAUUACCGGAGGUAAAGCACUGAAUUGGCUAGGGGCCGAGAGGUUACUGAACCUUAUCAAACUAAGAAUGCCGGAUAAUCGUUUUUCAGGAGUCAGACAGUGGGAGAUAAGUUUCAUUGUCAAAAGGGAAACAGCCCAGACCCACAGCUAAGGUCCCCAAGUAUAGUUAAGUGGAAAAGGAUGUGGAAUUGCACAGACAACCAGGAUGUUGGCUUAGAAGCAGCCACUCAUUAAAAGAGUGCGUAAUAGCUCACUGGUCGAGUGACUCUGCGCCGAAAAUUUAACGGGGCUAAACUAUACACCGAAGCUUGGGAUACAUCUAAUGUAUGGUAGGAGAGCGUUCUGUAUGGGGAGAAGUCGUAGCGAAAGCGGCGGUGGACUAUACAGAAGUGAGAAUGCCGGAAUAAGUAGCGAGAAUUAAGUGAGAAUCUUAAUGGCCGAAAGUCUAAGGUUUUUGGAGGAAGGUUCGUCCGCUCCAAGUAAGUCGGGAGCUAAGGUCAGGCCGAAAGGCGUAGCCGAUGCACAUACGGUUGAUAUUCCGUAACCAUCUGUAAUUUAAGCAAAGGGACACUUCAAAAGGGUGUGACCCGGGCGUUGGUUGACCCGGGCGUAAGGGACCGAAAUUAGAGUAGGGAAGCACACUUAGCUGAAGGCGAGAAAAGCUUUGCGUAUAGAAACAGAUGCCCGUACCGCAAACCGACACAGGUGGACAGGAAGAGAAUUCUAAGGCCAGCGGGAGAAGGGUAGUUAAGGAACUCGGCAAAUUGACUCCGUAACUUCGGAAUAAGGAGUGCUCGAAAGAGCCGCAGAGAAUAGGCCCAGGCGACUGUUUAGCAAAAACACAGGUCUCUGCCAAAUCGAAAGAUGAAGUAUAGGGGCUGACACCUGCCCGGUGCCGGAAGGUUAAGAGGAGGAGUGAGAGCUCCGAAUUGAAGCCCCGGUAAACGGCGGCCGUAACUAUAACGGUCCUAAGGUAGCGAAAUUCCUUGUC
rnacentral:rRNA from 1 species